rnacentral:rRNA from 1 species
AGAGUUUGAUCCUGGCUCAGAAUGAUCGUUGGCGGCGUGGAUUAGGCAUGCAAGUCGAACGGGCCGCAAGGCCAGUGGCGCAAGGGUGAGUUAGGCGAUGGCAACCAACCCCGCGAUUGGGCAUAGCCGAGGGAAACUUCGGGUAAUUCCCAGCGAUGUUCAGGACAGGCAUCUGUUUUGAACCAAAGGUGCGAUUCCGUCGCGGGACGGGCCAUCGUGGUAUUAGAUUGUUGGCGGGGUAACGGCCCACCAAGUCGUUGAUGCCUACCGGGCGUGUGAGCGUGGCCCGGCACACUGGGACUGAGACACUGCCCAGACUCCUACGGGAGGCUGCAGUCGAGAAUCUUCGGCAAUGGGCGCAAGCCUGACCGAGCGACGCCGCGUGGAGGAUGAAGGCCCUCGGGUUGUAAACUCCUGUCGAGGGGAAUGAAGGGGUCGUGAAGAACGAUCCUUGACCGAACCCUGGAGGAAGCACGGGCUAAGUUCGUGCCAGCAGCCGCGGUAAGACGAACCGUGCGAACGUUAUUCGGAAUCACUGGGCUUAAAGCGCGUGUAGGCGGAUCGGCGCGUCGUUCGUUGAAAGCCCCCGGCUCAACCGGGGAAUCGGCGGCGAUACGGCCGGUCUUGAGGAGCGCAGGGGAACCUGGAACUUCCGGUGGAGCGGUGAUAUGCGUUGAGAUCGGAAGGAACGCCCGUGGCGAAAGCGAGGUUCUGGACGCUUGCUGACGCUGAGACGCGAAAGCUAGGGGAGCAAACGGGAUUAGAUACCCCGGUAGUCCUAGCUGUAAACGAUGA